rnacentral:tRNA from 1 species
GGGCGAAUAGCUCAGUUGGUAGAGCGCCACCCUUACAAGGUGGAUGCCACAGGUUCGAGCCCUGUUUCGCCCACCA